UCAACAGAGCCAUAAAGGGGGUCCGAGCUUCACAGAAGCUACCAGAGGCUCGGAGGAUGCACAGGAAAUGAGUGCAUAGGCUGUGUCUCCGGCAGCACAACAGAACUCGGCUGGACGCUGUGAGAGCAUCCACCAUCAGAUUCAGUACCAUCAAAAAACCCACAAAUAGAGGUGAUGAUGAUCCUUAUUGAUGCUGCUCCGGAAGUCAGAGCAUCCUCCACUUGGGCUGCAAGAUGUUUGGGUCUCCUUCCUUCUCAGACUGAGGGAAAUAGAAUCCUCAUCCCUUAAUAAUAAACAUGCAAGGCUGGAUGGGGCUCUGAGCAAUCUGAUCUAGUGUGUGAUCUAGUAGCUGGUAACCCUGCCUGUGGCAGGGAAGUUGAAGCUAGAUGAUCUCUGAGGUCCCUUCCAACACAGAUCUAUGAUUCUAGAAUGACAGAAAGUGUCCUUAGAGGAAGGUAUUUGGUGAAGAUGGGACAUCAGAGUCAGUGAGGCCAAUCGACAAGGUCAGAGGAUCUAUUUCUUUAAUAUUCCUCAUGAGCAUAAUUCUUCCAUCCUUUAUUUGACCCUGUUCACACUCUCCUGCCCCAAGGAAGGCAGACAAUGCUUCAGGGCAAGGUGGGAAAGUUGUUGGCUGGAAGAGUCCUAGUAAUGCAUAUUCCAACAGAAAAGGUGGGCUGAAAUUUCAUCAGGUUUACAAUAUAUUCAGUGCUUAUUCUAAACAGUAAGCCAUGGUAGAGGUAGACUUUGAGCAUGUUUUGAAAGAAAGAACAAUCUCUUUGUUCCAUCAGUUUUGAAAGAAUUCAACCGGAUAACUUUUACAAGACAUUUAAGAACUUUGAAUUCUCAAGAGAAACUUCUGGGGGGAAAAAAUAAUAAUAAUAGAAAAAAAAAAACCCACAACCCUAGAUCUGAAGCGGGAUUUAGGCUAAACUCACCCCAUACUUUAGUUCCUAUUCUGGGGCUAUUGAUUCCCCCCAGGUAAUGCCCACCUGUAUGCCUGGAUUGAUCCACUGCACCAGUGCCAAGCUGGAGCAACAGGCAAUGUUCAGAGCUCUCAGGCUUUCUGCUUACAGUGACACAACUCAGCAGCUGGGUAUCAAUUUACAAGCUCAGUGCACUGAUCAGAUGCACAAAUGCAGACAGAGAUAUACUUCUAUGAAUAGCCCCUUAACUUCCGUGCAGCCCUUGCUGGACUGGCACUUUAAUGCAACACUAUCUUCAGCUAUUCUUAAUUCUCAAAUGGCAAAAUGAAAGUAUUAAUAGAUGUUGUACAAAGAGCCAGUAACAAAAAUGUAUGUCAGACAUUGAGAUUUCUCCUGUUCUCCCAGUUUCCUAAUCCCUCUGUAUCACUGAAUGAGCAAAUAAAGUGUAAAAAUAAAUGUUUGUGACUGUUCAGUAGCUGAUAUUUUGACUAAGAAAAAUAGAUCUGUUUGCUCACUAUAACCUGUUCAAUGAGGUGUCUACUCAGCAAACAUGAAAUGGACUGUUCAUCUGUUGCAAAUCCAUAUUAGUUAUUGGAUGCAAUGGGCUACUAAGAAAAAUUAAUCAUCUAUAAACUUGAUCAUCUGCUCCUUGAAACAGCUGCUAUUUCUCCCAGGAUUUGAUUACAACAAACUUUUGCUGCAAAUUCCUCUUUAAUUUAUCCAACUGUGUUAUAUUAAAAUAAUUUAUUGCCCUGA